rnacentral:rRNA from 1 species
GAUGAACGCUGGCGGCGUGCUUAACACAUGCAAGUCGAGCGAGGGAGCACCUUCGGGUGUGAACUAGCGGCGGACGGGUGAGUAACACGUGGGCAACCUGCCUUACAGAGGGGGAUAGCCUUCCGAAAGGAAGAUUAAUACCGCAUAUUAUGAUUUUUCUGCAUGGAGGAAUCAUGAAAGGAGCAAUCCGCUGUAAGAUGGGCCCGCGGCGCAUUAGCUAGUUGGUGAGGUAAGGGCUCACCAAGGCGACGAUGCGUAGCCGACCUGAGAGGGUGAACGGCCACAUUGGGACUGAGACACGGCCCAG